AUAGUUCGGGAUCGCCAAAUUGAGUUCAAUCGCCAAUCAGGCGGUCAUCGCUAGUAGGGGGAACGUGGUUUGUUUGGCGACAAAUUUUCAUUCGUCGCCAAUUUGGCGACAAACUCAAAAUUUGUCUCUGAAUUUGCAAAGAGAAGGGAGGCUGUGUAGGGCGCAUUAGGGCGAUGGGGAAGGGCACGGGGAGCUUCGGGAAGAGGAGGAACAAGACCCACACGCUGUGCGUGCGGUGGAACUUCCACCGCCAAAAGAGUCGGUGUAGUUCCUGCGGCUACCCCGCUACUCGGAUCUGCAAGUUUUGUUCUUGCAACAUAUAAUUGGAGUGUGAAGGCAUCAGAAGGAAGACAACUGGUACUGGAAGGAUGAGAUAUCUCCGUCAUGUGCCACGAAGUUCAAGAACAAUUUCAGAGAAGGUACUGAAGCAGUGCCAAGAAAGAAGGCUGCAGCUGCAGCUGUUUAAACUUAAUUGUUUCUUUUUAGCUUCUAGAGUCUCAGGGUUUCUUAAAACUCAAUUGUUGAACGGCAAGACUUCUUUGGAUGCCUUUUGCUUUGUAUGUUCAUUGAUCUCAAUUUGUUUUUGGAAUGAACUCAUUUCUGUCACACUAAAGAGAGUGGACUAAAUAAUGAAAUCAAUACUAUAUGAUACAGAGAUCAUAUUUUGACCUCA